rnacentral:rRNA from 1 species
CCAAUCGAACCCGGAGAUAGCUGGUUCUCCUCGAAAUAGCUUUAGGGCUAGCCUCAUGGAUCAUUGGUGGGGGUAGAGCACUGAAUGUGCGCGGGGGCCACAAAGCCUACCAAACGCUAUCAAACUACGAAUACCAUACAAUGCAGACCAUGGGAGUCAGUCCGCGAGAGAUAAGUUCCGCGGGCAAAAGGGGAACACCCCAGAUCAACCGCUAAGGUCCCCAAGUUCACGUUAAGUGGAGAAGGAUGUGGAAUUGCACAGACAACCAGGAUGUUGGCUCAGAAGCAGCCACACAUUUAAAGAGUGCGUAAUAGCUCACUGGUCGAGUGAUUGUGCGCCGAAGAUGUCCGGGGCUAAACGUGACACCGAAGCGAUGGGUGCGUCUGAAGAAGAUGCGCGGUAGAGGAGCAAUGUGCAGAGGCAGAAGCCGUAUCGAGAGGCACGGUGGACACUGCACAAGAGAGAAUGCCGGUAUGAGUAGCGAGAGGCAUGCGAGAAACAUGCCCGUCGAAAGCCCAAGGUUUCCUGGGGAAGGUUCAUCCGCCCAGGGUAAGUCGGGGCCUAAGCCGAGGACGGAAGUCGUAGGCGAUGGACAGCAGGUGUAGAUUCCUGCACUACCGAUGGAAUGAAGCAGUGACACAGAAGGAUAACUCGAGCAGGGUGAUGGUCAACCCUGUGCAAGCAUCAAGGUUGGGUUGUAGUGAAGUACGCAACCCUAUAAGCUGAGGUGUGAUGCGGACCGAAAUUUUAGUAGGGAAGCGAGUGAGUUCACGCUGGCGAGAAAAGCUGCUAGUAUAUCCAAAGGUACCCGUACCGGAAACCGACGCAGGUGGGCGAGGAGAGAAUCCUGAGACGAACGGGAGAACCCUUGUUAAGGAACUCGGCAAAAUGACCCCGUAACUUCGGGAUAAGGGGUGCCUGCGAGAGCAGGCCGCAGAGAAUAGUCACAAGCGACUGUUUAGCAAAAACACAGGUAUCUGCGAAAGCGAGAGCUGACGUAUAGGUGCUGACACCUGCCCGGUGCUGGAAGGUUAAGGGAACAUGUUAGAGCAAUCGAAGCAUCGAACCGAAGCCCCAGUAAACGGCGGCCGUAACUAUAACGGUCCUAAGGUAGCGAAAUUCCUUGUCGGGUAAGUUCCGACCCGCACGAAUGGUGUAACGACUUGUGAGCUGUCUCAACAGGGGGCCCGGUGAAAUUGAAGUAUGGGUGAAGAUGCCCAUUACCCGCGACUGGACGGAAAGACCCCGUAGAGCUUUACUGCAGCCUGAUAUUGAGUUUCGGUAACUGAUGCACAGGAUAGGUGGGAGUCUGAGAGACAUGGGUUUCGGCUCGUGUGGAGACGCUGUUGGGAUACCACUCUUCGGUUACUGAAAUUCUAACAUAGCUCUGUGAAACCAGAGGAUGGACAGUGUCAGGUGGACAGUUUGACUGGGGCGGUCGCCUCCGAAAGAGUAACGGAGGCGCCCAAAGGUACCCUCAGAAUGGAUGGAAACCAUUCGAAGAGCGCAAAGGCAGAAGGGUGCCUGACUGCGAGAUUGACAAAUCGAGCAGAGACGAAAGUCGGGCUUAGUGAUCCGGCGGUAUUGAGUGGAAAAGCCGUCGCUUAACGGAUAAAAGCUACCUCGGGGAUAACAGGCUGAUCUCCCCCAAGAGUCCACAUCGACGGGGAGGUUUGGCACCUCGAUGUCGGCUCAUCGCAUCCUGGGGCUGUAUUCGGUCCCAAGGGUUUGGCUGUUCGCCAAUUAAAGCGGCACGCGAGCUGGGUUCAGAACGUCGUGAGACAGUUCGGUCCCUAUCCAUCGUGGGCGUAGGAGUCAUGAGAGGAGCUGUUCCUAGUACGAGAGGACCGGAAUGGACGCACCACUGGUGCAACUGUUGUCGUGCCAACGGCAUAGCAGGGAAGCGAAGUGCGGAUGGGAUAAACGCUGAAGGCAUCUAAGCGUGAAGCCCACCUCAAGAAUAAGACUCCACAAUAGACCCCUGGAGGACUACCAGGUAGAUAGGUCAUCGGUGGAAGCGCUGUAAGGCGUGCAGCUUGAUGAUACUAAUCGGUCGAAAGCUUCAUUUA